rnacentral:rRNA from 1 species
UGGGGAAUCAUGGUCAAUGGGCGAAAGCCUGAACCUGCGACGCCGCGUGAGUGAUGAAGGUCGUAAGAUCGUAAAACUCUUUUCAGGGAUCUUAAAGCCUGUCUGUCAACAACAGGCAGGUCUGACUCUCCCUGGAAGAAGCCCCAGCCAACUACGUGCCAGCAGCUGCGGUAAUACGUAGGGGGCGAGCGUUAUCCGGAUUUAUUGGGUUUAAAGGGUUCGUAGGCGGCUUUGUAAGUCAGCGGUGAAAUACCAACGCUCAACGUUGGGGCUGCCGUUGAUACUGCUGGGCUUGAGAUGGAUCGACGAUGGCGGAAUGUGACAAGUAGCGGUGAAAUGCAUAGAUAUGUCACGGAACACCGAUAGCGAAGGCAGCUGUCGAGGUCAUCAUCUGACGCUGAGGAACGAAAGCGUGGGGAUCAAACA